CAAUAUUUUUUUUUUUUAAGUGAAGUGCAUUUUCUUGGCCUUAGUCUGUAUGGUAUUAUAUAAGUAAAAGUCAUAAUAAAUCACAUAAUGGAAUGAGUAAUCUAGAAGUCACGUGACGCAAAGACAACUCGGUAGCAACGUCAUUGUGACUUGGGAGCGAAUGUCUCUGGAGAGUCAUUAGUCUUUUGACGUUUUUGAUCAUAUGAAUGGACAAUUUCGGGAUCUGGCAUGAUAUAGGAAACUACAGUUUAACCUACAACUCUUUUCCAGGAACAUGAUCUUAAGAAUGGUACUGAGUUUUUAGAAAGAGGAUGCUCACUUCAUGAUGGUCUUUAGAACCUAAGUGGCAAAGCAGUUCUGUUCUCUUGAACACUGGAAGUUCUGUCACGGGUUUACUCUUCACCAGGACGGGCUGGCCACAAGGAGUUUUCUGAGUUUUCUCCACAUCUGUAACAUCUGAAUAGGGGCCAGUUACCCUUAAAAAGACCACCCUGAAGGCUUCCCCCUAGGCAGAUCACCCAAGUGUUGAGUUGCCAUAACUUAAUAAACAAACAAACAAGUAAAAGCAGAGAUCUGUAUAUGGAAAUUUCAUAAAUUAAUUUUAAGUUUUUUCGUAAUGUGAUGCAAAUAUGACAUUAUACUUGUGUCCAAUUAUCGGGAUCACCUGUAGGAACUACAUUAAUUAACAGUUAACAGAACUAUGAGUUUAGUAAACCUCUUUUGUGAGACAGGAACCUCCCGAUAUUUGCCUGUUACAAUGAAAAAAAAAAAUAUAUAAAAAUAUAAAAUGUUUUUUUGUAUAUUGCAAACUUUUUUCCAUAUAUGUUUUCAUGAUUUAUCUCUAAAGCAAGAUAUAAUACCUACAGGAUGAAACAAUGAAAUGGAAUGAAUAGGAUGAAGUGUCAAAUGCUUUUAAAUAGAAAUGAACAACUCCUGUGACUUGUGGGAUUCUAAUAUGUGGCCACUGAGCCUUUGGCAAUGUAAUUUUAUUUUACUGUUUUCUGCCUUAUGACAUUAUAUGACCCUAAUUUUAAGCUGAUAUUUGUGACAAUGAACAUUCAAACUAAACUUGAUCAAUUAAAAAGAUGAGAAAAAACUAUAUAUUACUAGCUUGCAUAACAUUAGCAUGUGUUAUUUUAGUACCUAGUGUAUGGGCAAUUGUGGAAUUGGUACCAACAGACUUAAAGCCUGUUACUCUGUAAGAAUAAGCAUGCAGCCUGCCAGAAGCCAGAG